rnacentral:rRNA from 1 species
AGUGAACGCUGGCGGUAGGCCUAACACAUGCAAGUCGAACGGCAGCACAGUAAGAGCUUGCUCUUACGGGUGGCGAGUGGCGGACGGGUGAGGAAUACAUCGGAAUCUACUUUUUCGUGGGGGAUAACGUAGGGAAACUUACGCUAAUACCGCAUACGACCUACGGGUGAAAGCAGGGGAUCUUCGGACCUUGCGCGAUUGAAUGAGCCGAUGUCGGAUUAGCUAGUUGGCGGGGUAAAGGCCCACCAAGGCGACGAUCCGUAGCUGGUCUGAGAGGAUGAUCAGCCACACUGGAACUGAGACACGGUCCAGACUCCCACGGGAGGCAGCAGUGGGGAAUAUUGGACAAUGGGCGCAAGCCUGAUCCGGCCAUACCGCGUGGGUGAAGAAGGCCUUCGGGUUGUAAAGCCCUUUUGUUGGGAAAGAAAAGCAGCAGGUUAAUACCCCGCUGUUCUGACGGUACCCAAAGAAUAAGCACCGGCUAACUUCGUG